UACGGAGGGUGCAAGCGUUAUCCGGAUUCACUGGGUUUAAAGGGCGCGUAGGCGGCGUGUUAAGUCAGCUGUGAAAUCUCCAAGCUUAACUUGGAACGGUCAGCUGAUACUGAUGUGCUAGAGUGCAGAAGGGGCAAUCGGAAUUCUUGGUGUAGCGGUGAAAUGCGUAGAUAUCAAGAGGAACACCUGAGGUGAAGACGGGUUGCUGGGCUGACACUGACGCUGAGGCGCGAAAGCUAGGGUAGCAAACGGG
rnacentral:rRNA from 1 species